GAGUUUGAUCCUGGCUCAGGAUGAACGCUAGCGGCAGGCCUAAUACAUGCAAGUCGAACGAUAGAUUGGGGCUUGCUUCAAUCGAAAAGUGGCGCACGGGUGCGUAACGCGUAUGCAACCUACCUUAUUCAGGGGGAUAGCCCGAAGAAAUUCGGAUUAACACCGCAUAAAAUCACAGCUCAGCAUUGAGUAAUGAUCAAAUAUUUAUAGGAAUAAGAUGGGCAUGCGUGUCAUUAGCUAGUUGCGGGGUAACGGCCCACCAAGGCGACGAUGACUAGGGGAUCUGAGAGGAUGACCCCCCACACUGGUACUGAGACACGGACCAGACUCCUACGGGAGGCAGCAGUAAGGAAUAUUGGUCAAUGGAGGCAACUCUGAACCAGCCAUGCCGCGUGCAGGAAGACAGCCCUCUGGGUCGUAAACUGCUUUUAUUCGGGAAUAAACCUUUCUACGUGUAGAGAGCUGAAUGUACCGAAGGAAUAAGGAUCGGCUAACUCCGUGCCAGCCGCCG
rnacentral:rRNA from 1 species